GACGAACGCUGGCGGCGUGCCUAAUACAUGCAAGUCGAACGCAGUGGGGACGGGUGAGUAACACGUGGGUAACCUCCCAUCAGAGGGGAUAACACUUGGAAACAGGUGCUAAACCGAUACUGAUGGAUGGACCCGCGGUGCAUUAGCUAGUUGGUGAGGUAACGGCUCACCAAGGCCACGAUGCAUAGACGACCUGAGAGGGUGAUCGGCCACACUGGGACUGAGACACGGCCCAGCCUCCUACGGGAGGCAGCAGUAGGGAAUCUUGCACAAUGGACGAAAGGCUGAUCGAGCAACGCCGCGUGUGUGAAGAAGGUUUUAGGGUCGUAAAGCUCUGUUGUUAGGGAGGCGUUACCUAACGAGAAAGCCACGGCUAACUCCGUGCCAGCCGCCGCGGUAAUAC
rnacentral:rRNA from 1 species